rnacentral:tRNA from 1 species
GACCACGUAGCUCAGUUGGAAGAGCAUUGGGCUGGUAUUCCAAAGGUCGUAGGUUCGAAUCCCACCUUGGCCG